UACGGGGGGGGCAAGCGUUGUUCGGAAUUACUGGGCGUAAAGGGCGCGUAGGCGGCCUUCUAAGUCGAACGUGAAAUCCCUGGGCUCAACCCAGGAACUGCGUCCGAUACUGGAUGGCUUGGAUUUGGGAGAGGGAUGCGGAAUUCCAGGUGUAGCGGUGAAAUGCGUAGAUAUCUGGAGGAACACCGGUGGCGAAGGCGGCAUCCUGGACCAAUAUUGACGCUGAGGAGCGAAAGCCAGGGGAGCAAACGGG
rnacentral:rRNA from 1 species